GGAGGGAUGGCCGAGUGGUUGAAGGCGGCGGUCUUGAAAACCGUUAUGUCGAAAGGCAUCGGGAGUUCGAAUCUCCCUCCCUCCGCCA
rnacentral:tRNA from 1 species